rnacentral:misc_RNA from 1 species
GAUGAAGAACGUAGCGAAAUGCGAUACGUAAUGUGAAUUGCAGAAUUCAGUGAAUCAUCGAAUCUUUGAACGCACAUUGCACUCUCUGGUAUUCCGGAGAGUAUGCUUGUUUGAGUAUCUGUAAACAUCUCAAAUCUCUCUUCAAUUGCUUCAAUUGGGUCGAGAGAAUUGGAUUUGAGCGAUCCCGACUCCUUCGUCAGAAAGAGGAGGGUCGCUUGAAAUGCAGGUGCAGCUGGACAUUCUUCUGAGCAAAAAGCAUAUCUAUUUAGUCCCGUCAAACGGAUUAUUACUUUUGCUUCAGCUAAUAUAAAGGUUGAAUGAACUACCAACGCUGAUUGCAGGAAAACAUGUUCGUUUAUUCGGACUUGUAAACUCGAUCUCAAAUCAAGUAAGACUACCCGCUGAACUUAAGCAUAUCAUAAGCGGAGGA